GUCAUUCACAUGUCAAAAGCCUUACUUCAGAGCAAGAAAGGACUUGUCUUGGAAUCCUGCAGUGGGCCGACCGGGUCUGGAGCCCGGCGGAAAGGACCCAGGGCGCAGCAGGCUGACGUUACCCGUGGUGGAUGAGCCAGUGUUCAACACGCAGGAAGGCGGGAGGGAGCGACCAGGAACCCGAGCACAACUCCGGCCAGCGCUCAGCGUGCAGACUAAAACAAGGGACUCAGGUUCCCAAGCCUGUGCGCCCCCCCUCCCCGCCCCCGAAUCUGUAAGCCCGAUGCGGGCAUCGCCGAAAGAGACAAGAGCCCAGGGCGCAGCUCGCCUUUCAGGGAAGAAGGGAGGCUGGGAAAACAGACGUGCCGAUCUCAUCUUACCUCAAAAGAGGACUCCAACUCGUCCACCAAGGUACUGUUAGAAGCUCUCGGAGGGCCCGGCGCGGCCUGAAGAAGCGAAGCCUGGCCCCUGGAGUCCCCCGCGUGCCCAGGUGGCUGCCCGGAGAACAUGCCUCCCAGCGGAGCCGCCAUUUGUGGAACGACGCGCUGGCGGGGGCGGGGGGGCGGGGGCUGCGCCUGCGCAGGAACUGGCGCCCGCGGCUCACGUGACGCAGCCCGUCACGUGACUCUGCGGGCGCCGUAGGCGGACCUCGGGCUCCGCGGAAGCUGCGAGUGCUGGUUUCACUUCGGCCAAGCCUUCUCGGCCUCUGGGCUCAGGUAGGCGGCUGGUGGAAGGCGGGAGGCACCCAGUCAUUGCGCGUUAUUGAGCGCUUACCGCGCUCCAGUGACUAAUCUAGGCCCCGUGGAUGGAGCGGGAACAAACUGGCAGAGUCACUCCUCAAUCCUCUGUGCGGAGGGGCGGGUUAGGGCAGAAAACACUUGCGGGUGUUAAAGCUCCUCCCGCCUUAGGUAUUUGUGCUUACACUAAAGCCACUAUGCGGUCUUUCAGUAGCUUCCCUUUAGCACUAACUUAUCUUUCCAGAAGCAAGUUUUUUUUUUCCCCCGUUAUAUUUUUCACAGUUACCUGCAUUUACCGAGCCUUCCAUGUCCUAGGCUCUGUUUAUUCUGGGAUUUUAACGAUCACCCGAGUCUCUCUUGUAGAGUCUACUACUGUUUUUGUGGGAAAGCGACAAACACACACACAUAUAUAUAGCAGUACCGCAUAGAGGUCUUGGAGCAACAGUGAUCUUAGGAGCACCUGGAUGGCUCAGUGGUUGAGCAUCUGACUUCAGCUCAGGCCGUGAUGUCCUGGGAUCGAGUCCCACAUCAGGUUCCUCACAGGGAGCCUGCUUCUCCCUCUGCCUGUGUCUCUGAUGAAUAAAUAAAAUAACAGAAA